rnacentral:rRNA from 1 species
UGUAAACUCCUGUCAUUGGGGAACAAUGCGUAAAUAUAAACUGUAUUGCGUUGAUAGUACCCGAAGAGGAAGAGACGGCUAACUCUGUGCCAGCAGCCGCGGUAAUACAGAGGUCUCAAGCGUUGUUCGGAUUCAUUGGGCGUAAAGGGUGCGUAGGCGGCGCGGUAAGUCGGGUGUGAAAUCUUGGAGCUUAACUCCGAAACUGCAUUCGAUACUGCCGUGCUUGAGGACUGGAGAGGAGACUGGAAUUUACGGUGUAGCGGUGAAAUGCGUAGAUAUCGUAAGGAAGACCAGUGGCGAAGGCGGGUCUCUGGACAGUUCCUGGGCGCUGAGGCACGAAGGUCAGGGGAGCAAACGGGAUUAGAUACCCCGGUAGUUCCUGACAGUAAACGGUGCACGUUUCGGUGUGGGAGGA